rnacentral:rRNA from 1 species
AUUGAACGCUGGCGGCAUGCUUUACACAUGCAAGUCGAACGGCAGCGCGGGCUUCGGCCUGGCGGCGAGUGGCGGACGGGUGAGUAAUGCAUCGGAACGUGUCCUGUAGAGGGGGAUAGCCCGGCGAAAGCCGGAUUAAUACCGCAUACGAUCUACGGAUGAAAGCGGGGGACCUUAGGGCCUCGCGCUAUAGGGGCGGCCGAUGUCGGAUUAGCUAGUUGGUGAGGUAAAGGCUCACCAAGGCGACGAUCCGUAGCUGGUCUGAGAGGACGACCAGCCACACUGGGACUGAGACACGGCCCAGACUCCUACGGGAGGCAGCAGUGGGGAAUUUUGGACAAUGGGGCAACCCUGAUCCAGCAAUGCCGCGUGUGUGAAGAAGGCCUUCGGUU